rnacentral:tRNA from 2 species
GCCCAGAUAGCUCAGUUGGUAGAGCAGAGGACUGAAAAUCCUCGUGUCACUGGUUCGAUUCCGGUUUUGGGCA